AAAAGCUUCGUAGACUCGACAAAUCGCUCCGCUUAUAGAAAAAAAUGGAAGCAAAGUAGCUUGCUUACUCUUCUAGUAGCGUACGUUGGCGGCAAGGAAGGAGGCAUUGGAAAGACUAGACCAUACUAAAGAAAAGAGAAAUUCGGGAAGCGACUAGUCGCUUCUGGAGAAGAUUUUAGAAGGCCGACCACUACAUAAAGAGAUCCAUAUACCAGUCAUGAGUGAUAGCGAAGCCUAGAGAGGCGAAAGGCAGGAUCGAAGAGCUUAGUGUGAAACGCUCAGGAAAGGAGCAUAGAAUGUGGACAAAAACAAGGCUAUUAACUAAGCCAUUUUGUCACCCUUCCAUGCACACACCUACACAAUAAAACAUAAUACCAAUCCAAAC
rnacentral:lncRNA from 1 species